UACGUAGGGUGCGAGCGUUGUCCGGAAUUAUUGGGCGUAAAGGGCUCGUAGGCGGUUUGUCGCGUCGGGAGUGAAAACCUCGGGCUUAACUCGGGGCUUGCUUUCGAUACGGGCAGACUAGAGGUAUGCAGGGGGAGAACGGAAUUCCUGGUGUAGCGGUGAAAUGACGCAGAUAUCAGGAGGAACACCGGUGGCGAAGGCGGUUCUCUGGGCAUGAUCUGACGCUGAGGAGCGAAAGUGUGGGGAGCGAACAGG
rnacentral:rRNA from 1 species